rnacentral:rRNA from 1 species
AGUUCGGAUUGCAGGCUGCAACCCGCCUGCAUGAAGUUGGAAUCACUAGUAAUCGCGGAUCAGCAUGCCGCGGUAAAUGCGUUCUCGGGCCUUGUACACACCGCCCGUCACACCAUGAGAGUCGGGAACACCCGAAGUCCGUAGCCUAACCGCAAGGGGGGCGCGGCCGAAGGUGGGCUCGAUAAUUGGGGUGAAGUCGUAACAAGGUAGC